UGUGUGUGAUUGUGUGUGUAUAUGUGUGUAUGUGUAUACACACACACACACACACACACAUAUAUAUG